GUUAUAAAUAUCGUUGGCCAGACUGUAGCCGCCAAAUUAUACGAAAUACCUGAAAAGGGACUUCUUGAAAGAACAGCCUCAAUUCUUCCAUGCAUGGACUCUACAAGGUGUUGAAAGCGUUCCAAAGGGAUGCUGGCCUAGGUUGACUCCAAUGCUUCCCACGGUUGUGUCAAGUUAGCUGGAUGUCCUUUGGGUGGUGGACCAUUCUUGAUACACAUGGGAAACUGGUGUGAGUGUGAUACACUUUUACACGGAGAGUGCAUGGAACCAGGAAGCACUAUUCGACAUGUUCCUGCACGGUGUCUCUGAGGAGGUUAAGGACGAGCUUGCUGCUCGGAAAAUACCCACGGAUCUUGACUCCCUCCUCGCCUUGACCAUCUGCAUCAAUGGCCGAUUGCGGAAACGACGGAUGGAGAGGAAAUUCGAUUUCGCUCACACGUCCAGGGAUUCAACCACACCUCCGGGGGUCCCCAACAGUCCUGUUGCCGAGAGCACCCGACACUUCCCGACCUUCCGCGAGAGACACCAAAGACGGCCGAGGCACUGUUUCCCGAGCCCAUGCAACUAGGCAGAGCUGGGCUGACGCCAGCAGAACGGCAACACAGGAUCAAGACAAGGAGCUGUCCUGUAUUGCAGGACUUUUGGUGAUUUUGUGUCCUCUUGCCCGGUAAAAGACCAGGCUCACCGGUAGGAGCAAGUACUCUGGUGGGCCAUAUGGAGAACGUUUCUGCUUCCCUUACUCACACCCCUUUUUUUGUCAUUCUGCUGUGGGGAAACCAGUCCAAAUGUCUCUGGGUCCUCAUUGACUCUGGGUCCGAUGAGUGCUUUUUGGACGCCACACAAGCUUCCGAGCUGAACAUCCCCAUUCAGCCCCUCUCCAUUCCCAUAGAUGUUAGAGCACUGGACGGGUGCUCUAUAGGUCGGGUCACCCAUAACAUCCCACCACCCAUCAACCUACGUACAGUAUGUCAGGGAAUCAAAGCGAGACCAUUCAAUUCCUGCUCAUCAAGUCCCCCCAGACUCCCAUGGUUUUGGGAUUCUCCUGGCUCCAGCGACACAAUCCCCUCAUCAACUAGUCUAUCAUGGGCUGGAGUCCAUUUUGACACGGCCAUUGUCUGAAGUCGGUGCAACCUGCCCCGGGACAUCUUCCUGGGGGGCUCGGAAGUUGCUCCGGACCUCUCCGCCAUUCCCGCGGAGUACCAGGACCCUCUAGGAGGUGUUCAGCAAGUCCCGGGCCACUUACCUUCUGCCCCACCGCCCGAUUGCGGAAGCGACGGGAUAUGACUGCGGGAUUGACCUUUUCCCUAGCAUCUGUACUCUCUGUCGGAACCAGAGACCAAGGUUAUGGAGACCUACAUUGGGGACUCCCUAGCUACAGGGUUUAUCUGUCUCUCUUCCUCUCCCGCUGGCGCAGGUUUCUUCCUUGUGGAGAAAAAGGACAGGACCCUGCGCCUGUGCAUUGACUACUGGGGACUCAAUGACAUUACUGUUACCGUUAUCCGCUACCAGUCAUUUCCUCUGCCUUCGAGCCGCUCCAGGGGGCCACUGUUUUCUCCAAGCUGGAUCUACGAAACGCCUACCACCUGGUGUGGAUACGAGAGGGGGACGAGUGGAAGACCGCCUUCAACAUGGCCAGUGGCCACUACGAAUAUCUGGUCAUGCCCUUUGGCCUAACCAACACCCCAGCCAUUUUCCAGGCUCUGGUGAAUGAUGCUCUCCGUGUGAUGCUUAACCGGUUCGUCUUCGUCUACAUUGAUGACAUCCUUGUCUUCUUCCGCUCCUCCCAAGAACACGUGCUCCAUGUCCGACAGGUUCUCCAGCGCCUUCUGGAGAACCAGUUGUUUGUUAAAGUGGAAAAGUGUGAGUUCCAUCGCUCCACCAUUCGCUUUCAGGCUACACCUUCUCUGCUAGGAGUGUCCAGAUGGAUCCCGAGAAGGUGAGAGCAGUGGAAGAUUGGCCUCAGCCUACGUCCAGGGUGCAGCUGCAAUGCUUCCUGGGGUUCGCCAACUUUUAUUGCCGCAAUAUCUGGGGUUACACCACCCUGGCCUCCCCCCUGUCUGCAAUUACCUCUACCAAGGUUCCGUUCACGUGGUCCUCUGCUGCUGACCGGGCGUUCUGGGACCUUAAACACCACUUCCCCACUGCUCCUAUCCUGGUUCACCCGGAUCCUUCCCGUCAGUUCGUGGUGGA
ensembl:lncRNA